GGGUUGUGAGGUUAAGCGACUAAGCGUACACGGUGGAUGCCCUGGCAGUCAGAGGCGAUGAAGGACGUGCUAAUCUGCGAUAAGCGUCGGUAAGGUGAUAUGAACCGUUAUAACCGGCGAUUUCCGAAUGGGGAAACCCAGUGUGUUUCGACACACUAUCAUUAACUGAAUCCAUAGGUUAAUGAGGCGAACCGGGGGAACUGAAACAUCUAAGUACCCCGAGGAAAAGAAAUCAACCGAGAUUCCCCCAGUAGCGGCGAGCGAACGGGGAGGAGCCCAGAGCCUGAAUCAGUGUGUGUGUUAGUGGAAGCGUCUGGAAAGGCGCGCGAUACAGGGUGACAGCCCCGUACACAAAAAUGCACAUGCUGUGAGCUCGAUGAGUAGGGCGGGACACGUGGUAUCCUGUCUGAAUAUGGGGGGGGAGUGAAAAAGAACCUGAAACCGUGUACGUACAAGCAGUGGGAGCACAGAGCAAUCUGUGUGACUGCGUACCUUUUGUAUAAUGGGUCAGCGACUUAUAUUCUGUAGCAAGGUUAACCGAAUAGGGGAGCCGAAGGGAAACCGAGUCUUAACUGGGCGUUAAGUUGCAGGGUAUAGACCCGAAACCCGGUGAUCUAGCCAUGGGCAGGUUGAAGGUUGGGUAACACUAACUGGAGGACCGAACCGACUAAUGUUGAAAAAUUAGCGGAUGACUUGUGGCUGGGGGUGAAAGGCCAAUCAAACCGGGAGAUAGCUGGUUCUCCGGGUCAUCCCGACUUACCAACCCGAUGCAAACUGCGAAUACCGGAGAAUGUUAUCACGGGAGACACACGGCGGGUGCUAACGUCCGUCGUGAAGAGGGAAACAACCCAGACCGCCAGCUAAGGUCCCAAAGUCAUGGUUAAGUGGGAAACGAUGUGGGAAGGCCCAGACAGCCAGGAUGUUGGCUUAGAAGCAGCCAUCAUUUAAAGAAAGCGUAAUAGCUCACUGGUCGAGUCGGCCUGCGCGGAAGAUGUAACGGGGCUAAACCAUGCACCGAAGCUGCGGCAGCGACACUGUGUGUUGUUGGGUAGGGGAGCGUUCUGUAAGCCUGUGAAGGUGUGCUGUGAGGUAUGCUGGAGGUAUCAGAAGUGCGAAUGCUGACAUAAGUAACGAUAAAGCGGGUGAAAAGCCCGCUCGCCGGAAGACCAAGGGUUCCUGUCCAACGUUAAUCGGGGCAGGGUGAGUCGACCCCUAAGGCGAGGCCGAAAGGCGUAGUCGAUGGGAAACAGGUUAAUAUUCCUGUACUUGGUGUUACUGCGAAGGGGGGACGGAGAAGGCUAUGUUGGCCGGGCGACGGUUGUCCCGGUUUAAGCGUGUAGGCUGGUUUUCCAGGCAAAUCCGGAAAAUCAAGGCUGAGGCGUGAUGACGAGGCACUACGGUGCUGAAGCAACAAAUGCCCUGCUUCCAGGAAAAGCCUCUAAGCAUCAGGUAACAUCAAAUCGUACCCCAAACCGACACAGGUGGUCAGGUAGAGAAUACCAAGGCGCUUGAGAGAACUCGGGUGAAGGAACUAGGCAAAAUGGUGCCGUAACUUCGGGAGAAGGCACGCUGAUAUGUAGGUGAAGUCCCUCGCGGAUGGAGCUGAAAUCAGUCGAAGAUACCAGCUGGCUGCAACUGUUUAUUAAAAACACAGCACUGUGCAAACACGAAAGUGGACGUAUACGGUGUGACGCCUGCCCGGUGCCGGAAGGUUAAUUGAUGGGGUUAGCGCAAGCGAAGCUCUUGAUCGAAGCCCCGGUAAACGGCGGCCGUAACUAUAACGGUCCUAAGGUAGCGAAAUUCCUUGUCGGGUAAGUUCCGACCUGCACGAAUGGCGUAAUGAUGGCCAGGCUGUCUCCACCCGAGACUCAGUGAAAUUGAACUCGCUGUGAAGAUGCAGUGUACCCGCGGCAAGACGGAAAGACCCCGUGAACCUUUACUAUAGCUUGACACUGAACAUUGAGCCUUGAUGUGUAGGAUAGGUGGGAGGCUUUGAAGUGUGGACGCCAGUCUGCAUGGAGCCGACCUUGAAAUACCACCCUUUAAUGUUUGAUGUUCUAACGUGGACCCGUGAUCCGGGUUGCGGACAGUGUCUGGUGGGUAGUUUGACUGGGGCGGUCUCCUCCUAAAGAGUAACGGAGGAGCACGAAGGUUGGCUAAUCCUGGUCGGACAUCAGGAGGUUAGUGCAAUGGCAUAAGCCAGCUUGACUGCGAGCGUGACGGCGCGAGCAGGUGCGAAAGCAGGUCAUAGUGAUCCGGUGGUUCUGAAUGGAAGGGCCAUCGCUCAACGGAUAAAAGGUACUCCGGCCUCGAUGUCGGCUCAUCACAUCCUGGGGCUGAAGUAGGUCCCAAGGGUAUGGCUGUUCGCCAUUUAAAGUGGUACGCGAGCUGGGUUUAGAACGUCGUGAGACAGUUCGGUCCCUAUCUGCCGUGGGCGCUGGAGAACUGAGGGGGGCUGCUCCUAGUACGAGAGGACCGGAGUGGACGCAUCACUGGUGUUCGGGUUGUCAUGCCAAUGGCACUGCCCGGUAGCUAAAUGCGGAAGAGAUAAGUGCUGAAAGCAUCUAAGCACGAAACUUGCCCCGAGAUGAGUUCUCCCUGACCCUUUAAGGGUCCUGAAGGAACGUUGAAGACGACGACGUUGAUAGGCCGGGUGUGUAAGCGCAGCGAUGCGUUGAGCUAACCGGUACUAAUGAACCGUGAGGCUUAACCUUACAACGCCGAAGGUGUUU
rnacentral:rRNA from 1 species